AUUCUCAAACUUUAAAUAUGUAAGAAGUCCUUGUUACUUAGUUGAACGUGGACAUUUGAAUGCACCGUUACUAGUGGGCCAUUUUUGGUAAGCAGAACUGGCGAUGCGGGAUGAACCGAACGUGAGGUUAAGGUGCCGGAAUACACGCUCAUCAGACACCAGAAAAUUNGUGGUGUCGNCCCCGGGACUGAGUGAGUCCCGGUCAGUUGUUACUUCGGUAGCGGCAAGGUCUUUGAUNUGCGAGGAGUGGNGAAGCCCAGCUCAUCCGCAGCCACCCUCCCGUGGCUCACAGAUUAAGCAUCGACCGGUGGUCCGCAGGGGCUGCUCGAGAUAUAAUCGGCCUCCCGGCUCACACUGGGAGCCUAAGCGCAAAAGGUGUUAAUUCAUCUAGACAGUUGGACGGUGGCCAUGGAAGUCGGAAUCCGCUAAGGAAUGUGUAUAUACUACAAAGAUUGGGAGCUAUUGCACAUGGACAGCAGGAGGUAUGCUAGCGAGCCUAGGGCUUUUGCCUCUGGGUUUCGUGACAGCUCUAAGAUGUCGGAAUGUGUCGCCUGUGUCAGGGCUAUACAACCGGCAGCGGGGGGGUUUCCCCUCCGUCCACAGACUAGACAGAGCUGACCGCGGGCCACACCGCGGCGAAGACAUAGCCGUUUCGGGCCCUGAAAGGGGGCUCGCUCGUACAAGAACAACUCACCAACCGAAUGAAUUAGCCCUGAAAAUGGAUGGCGCUCAAGCGUGUUACCUAUACCUCGCCGCCAGGGUAGAUCCUCAGUAACGGCGAGUAGGCUGACGUGGGGGUCAGUGACGAAGCCU
rnacentral:rRNA from 1 species